UCCAAGCAGCCGCCAAUGGGGUAACUUUU
rnacentral:piRNA from 1 species